rnacentral:rRNA from 1 species
CCAAAGGGUGAUGCCUUAGUACGGCGAGUGAAGCGGCAAAAGCUCAAAUUUGAAAUCUGGCACCUUCGGUGUCCGAGUUGUAAUUUGAAGAAGGUAACUUUGGAGUUGGCUCUUGUCUAUGUUCCUUGGAACAGGACGUCACAGAGGGUGAGAAUCCCGUGCGAUGAGAUGCCCAAUUCUAUGUAAAGUGCUUUCGAAGAGUCGAGUUGUUUGGGAAUGCAGCUCUAAGUGGGUGGUAAAUUCCAUCUAAAGCUAAAUAUUGGCGAGAGACCGAUAGCGAACAAGUACAGUGAUGGAAAGAUGAAAAGAACUUUGAAAAGAGAGUGAAAAAGUACGUGAAAUUGUUGAAAGGGAAGGGCUUGAGAUCAGACUUGGUAUUUUGCGAUCCUUUCCCUUCUUGGUUGGGGGUUCCUCGCAGCUUACUGGGGGCCAGCAUCCGGUUUGGGAUGGGUAGGAUAAAUGACCUAAGGGAAUUUGUGGGCUCUCCCUUUGGGUGGGGGGUGGUUUUCCCCCCUUGGGGUUGCAAAACAGGCC